rnacentral:rRNA from 1 species
UGGGGGCUUGGCCAACGGACCCAGGCAGGCCAUCUGUCUGCCAUGGCUGWUAAUCGCACGCGAUUGCAGCCUGGUGAGCUGGUGGAAUGUUUUGGUGUUCACUAGCCCACUCUCGGUGUAGAAGCUGGUCAUCUAUCCGACCCGUCUUGAAACACGGACCAAGGAGUUUAACGUAUACGCGAGCCAAUGGGUGUCAAACCUAAAGGCGCAAUGAAAGUGAAGGCCUAGUCGCUAGGCUUACAUGCGAGUGCCAGGGCUUCAUCGCCCAGACACGCAGCAUGGUCCCGUUCUGGUCGCUUGCGACGGAGCGGAGACAGAGCGUAUGCGCUGAGACCCGAAAGAUGGUGAACUAUUCCUGAGCAGGACGAAGCCAGAGGAAACUCUGGUGGAAGU